UACGUAGGUGACCAGCGUUGUCCGGAUUUACUGGGCGUAAAGCGUGCGCAGGCGGUUUGCUAAGACAGGUGUGAAAUCCCCGGGCUUAACCUGGGAACUGCGCGUGUAACUGGCAAGCUGGAGUGUGGCAGAGGGGGGUGGAAUUCCACGUGUAGCAGUGAAAUGCGUAGAGAUGUGGAGGAACACCGAUGGCGAAGGCAGCCCCCUGGGCUAACACUGACGCUCAUGCACGAAAGCGUGGGGAGCAAACAGG
rnacentral:rRNA from 1 species